AGCAGCCGCGGUAAUUCCAGCUCCAAUAGCGUAUAUUAAAGUUGUUGCAGUUAAAAAGCUCGUAGUUGAAUUUCGGGAUCAAUUUGCUGGUCGUGCCUUCGGUACGCACUGGUAUUAUUGGUUUCUCCUUUCUGAUGAAUCGCGAUGUCAUUAAUUUGGUGUCGUGGGGAAUCAGGACCGUUACUUUGAAAAAAUUAGAGUGUUUAAAGCAGGCUCACGCUUGAAUACAUUAGCAUGGAAUAAUGAAAUAGGACGUUUGAUUCUAUUUUGUUGGUUUCUAGGAUCGACGUAAUGAUUAAUAGGGAUAGUUGGGGGCAUUAGUAUUCAAUUGUCAGAGGUGAAAUUCUUGGAUUUAUUGAAGACUAACUACUGCGAAAGCAUUUGCCAAGGAUGUUUUCAUUAAUCAAGAACGAAAGUUAGGGGAUCGAAAACGAUCAGAUACCGUCGUAGUCUUAACCAUAAACUAUGCCGACUAGGGAUCGGAUGAUGUUAAUUUUUAAUGACUCAUUCGGCGCCUUAA
rnacentral:rRNA from 1 species